rnacentral:rRNA from 1 species
GGUCAGGAUGAACGCUAGCUACAGGCUUAACACAUGCAAGUCGAGGGGCAGCAUUGGAGUAGCAAUACUCAGAUGGCGACCGGCGCACGGGUGAGUAACACGUAUCCAACCUGCCGCUUACUCGGGGAUAGCCUUUCGAAAGAAAGAUUAAUACCCGAUGGUAUAAAGAGUUCGCAUGUUCUCUUUAUUAAAGAAUUUCGGUAAGCGAUGGGGAUGCGUUCCAUUAGAUAGUUGGCGGGGUAACGGCCCACCAAGUCUACGAUGGAUAGGGGUUCUGAGAGGAAGGUCCCCCACAUUGGAACUGAGACACGGUCCAGACUCCUACGGGAGGCAGCAGUGGGGAAUAUUGGGCAAUGGGCGGAAGCCUGACCCAGCGACGCCGCGUGAGGGAAGAAGGCCUUUGGGUCGUAAACCUCUGGUGUAUGGGAAGAAGGAAGUGACGGUACCAUACGAGGAAGUCCCGGCUAACUACGUGCCAGCAGCAGC